rnacentral:rRNA from 1 species
UACAGAGACUGCAAGCGUUAUUCGGAAUUACUGGGCGUAAAGCGUGCGCAGGCGGCUUUGCAAGACAGAUGUGAAAUCCCCGGGCUCAACCUGGGAACUGCAUUUGUGACUGCAUGGCUGGAGUGCGGCAGAGGGGGAUGGAAUUCCGCGUGUAGCAGUGAAAUGCGUAGAUAUGCGGAGGAACACCGAUGGCGAAGGCAAUCCCCUGGGCCUGCACUGACGCUGAUGCACGAAAGCGUGGGGAGCAAACAGG